rnacentral:rRNA from 1 species
UACGUAGGUGGCGAGCGUUGUCCGGAUUUAUUGGGCGUAAAGCGCGCGCAGGCGGUCGCGUAAGUCUGCUGUGAAAUCUCCCUGGCUCAACCGGGAGGGGGCGGCGGAGACUGCGGGACUGGAGGGACCUAGAGGCCGGUGGAAUUCCCGGUGUAGUGGUGAAAUGCGUAGAGAUCGGGAGGAACACCGAUGGCGAAGGCAGGUCUCUGGGCUGUAACUGACGCCGAGGAGCGAAAGCAUGGGGAGCGAACAGG